rnacentral:tRNA from 1 species
UGCCCUUUAGUAUAAUGGUUAAUACGCAGGAUUUUGAUUUCUGUAAUAUGGGUUCGAUUCCCAUAAGGGUAG